CAAAGCCUCCCUUAUUUUCCGCCGGUUGCCGGGAAUCAGUUUCACUACGCGCUCUCUCCCGGCGCCCGCGUCCUCACCUGGGCGGUGGAGGUCACGCCGGAUAACUGACAGGCUCGCAGCAUCUCUGCGGGGCUGACCGCGCUGCAGGUGACUCUUACGGCCCCUGAGUAUUUUGGCCUCUUCAGCCUAUCGAAACUGCUCCAAGAAUGCCUGUCUGAGUUCUGCACUGGCUUCCCGACAUUUCAGUCGUAUUCAGACACUGGUUGUGUCCCCUGCUCCCAGACUGAUCACAUCUGUCAGAAACCUGACAUGUGGGCAGACUGCCACAGUCCUCGAUAGAGUGGUCCCCUUGCUCCCACACGUCCUGAAGCCACCAGUCAGAACUGUAACAUACUACAGUUCAAGAAAAGGCAAGAGAAAGACUGUGAAAGCUGCCAUCUAUAGGUUUCUUCGACUUCAUUCUGGCCUGUGGCUAAGGAGGAAGGCUGGUUAUAAGAAAAAAUUAUGGAAGAAGACGGUUGCAAGAAAAAGACGCUUGAGGGAAUUUGUCUUCUGCAAUAAAACCCAAAGUAAGCUCUUAGAUAAAAUGACAACUUCUUUCUGGAAGAGGCGAAACUGGUAUGCUGAUGACCUUUAUCAGAAGUAUCAUGACCGAACAAACCUGAAAGUAUAGAUCAGAAGUUUUGUGAUUUCCCAGUUAUUGAAUGUGUAUCUUUGUGUAUAUGAUGUCUUUGCAAAGAUGAAAUAGUAUAAGACAUGAUGUAAGUUGUACCAACUGAUACGGAAACAUGUAGUACCAACAUUAAACUUACCAAUGUUUUAAAACUUAA